AGUGAACGCUGGCGGGAGGCCUAACACAUGCAAGUCGAACGGCAGCACAGUAAGAGCUUGCUCUUACGGGUGGCGAGUGGCGGACGGGUGAGGAAUACAUCGGAAUCUACUUUUUCGUGGGGGAUAACGUAGGGAAACGUACGCUAAUACCGCAUACGACCUACGGGUGAAAGCAGGGGAUCUUCGGACCUUGCGCGAUUGAAUGAGCCGAUGUCGGAUUAGCUAGUUGGCGGGGUAAAGGCCCACCAAGGCGACGAUCCGUAGCUGGUCUGAGAGGAUGAUCAGCCACACUGGAACUGAGACACGGUCCAGACUCCUACGGGAGGCAGCAGUGGGGAAUAUUGGACAAUGGGCGCAAGCCUGAUCCAGCCAUACCGCGUGGGUGAAGAAGGCCUUCGGGUUGUAAAGCCCUUUUGUUGGGAAAGAAAAGCAGCAGGUUAAUACCCCGCUGUUCUGACGGUACCCAAAGAAUAAGCACCGGCUAACUUCGUG
rnacentral:rRNA from 1 species